rnacentral:lncRNA from 1 species
CCAAGAUAAAGGUACAUAGCCAAACUCCCGAAACUAGGUAAUAUAGAUUCAUGAGCUCUAAACUCAAUACAUAACGAGUAUCAAAAAGUACAUUACUAUAUGAAAGUAAUACAACAGUAUGAAAAUAAAGGAAGAGGACUCCAAGGGUUUGGGCAUCCAUACACCACUACCUUGAAUUCUCUCGAACAGUCCAAAGCUAACUCUCGAGGCCCGCUACCUCCAACUCCCACAUCUGUUGUCAUGACCUAAAACCAAAUCGUUGUGAUUGCGCCUAUCGUGGUACCAGGAAAGACAACUACUCUACCAUUUCAACAUAACAAUAGCUUUGAAAAACACCGAAGUAGUUAAAUUUAAGGAAAACCCCUUUAAAAACAGAAUAAAACUCGCAACUCAAUACACAUCUCUCCCAAAAUUAGUUGUCACCAAGUACAUGAGCAUCUAUAUAGAGAUAUAGUCUAAUACAACAUCUAGGGAAUAAGAACCGAAACAUAAAUGAAGAUAAGGAAGGAGAGUCAUGGUCUGCAAACACCAUGCAGCUACCUUGAUAAUCUCCGAAGAUCUUGACUCCACAACUCAGCAUCUGCCGUGAGCGGAAGCACCUGAAUCUGCACACGAGGUGUAGGGUGUAGCGUGAGUACAAUUAACUCAAUAAGUAAUAAAUAUAACCUUUUGACUGAAAGUAGUGACGAACUCAAUCGGUACAGCUCAAUAAAGAAAUAACAGUGCAGAAACAUAGGCAUGCUUUCAAGUUCAAUAGUUAAACUCAAUACAGUAGGAUAGAUCAAUUCUAAAUGAUAUGAAGAAUAUAACUUCUCUACUUCUACAUGCCAAUGCACAUGUUGUAUGUGAUGCACGACGCUAAAAGCCUCGUGUGCUCAUACUUUCAAAAUUCUCAAUCACUCAGUACUAUAUAUGGUCAAUUUGACCCAAGGAAGAUCCAUCCCGAAAUAUAUAGAUCAACUGACCAUUAGUCACUCAUUACUAGGUAGUGCCAAUCCAUCUCGUGGGGAAGAUCCCUCCCCAAGUAUAAAUGUUUCGGACAAGAUCCAUAUCUAAGGAAGAUCCAUCUCUCAAUAUAAAUCAAUCGCGCUCACUAGGGUGUGUGGACACUUCGGAGGGGCUCCUUCAGCCCAAUUGCUAUCAUAAAUAAGUAAAACCCGUUGUGGUGUGCAACCCGAUCCUAUAAAUGUCACUCAUAAUUAGACCCUCGGCCUCACUCAGCCAUCAAUUUCUCCAGUCUCUCUCUCACGGGCUCACAAUAUUGUAAAACUAGCCUGAUAAUGAUGAUAUGAUGUAUCAAUAAAUAAUAAUAGGGACUGAGAUAUGAUAUGUAGUGGAUGAAUAUGACUGAGUACGAAAUUUCAAUGAAAUCAAUAAGUCAAUAGAAAGAAACGACCACUAUGGGUCCCAACAGGACCAGCAUAUCGCCAAAAUAUGAUCUCUAGCAUGAUUGACAGCUCAAUUACUUUAUCACAUGAUGAAAACACGGAUAUAACCAAUAUAAAUCCACUAUACAGUGCCAUGGAAUCGACCAGGUAACAAUUCUCAUAGUGUAUGCCCGCACGCCCGUUACUUGGCAUGUGCGUUUUCGCGCCCCCUUUUUCCUCACGGAGUCCGGGUUUCGACAUUCAUUGGGACUAACUCAUUUACUUUUGGGAGUUGGGUACGGAAUUUGAAGAGUCACCACCUAAUGGAUUUAAGGUGCGUUAGGCCACCUAACGCAAGUAACUCAUAAAACCGGUUUGCAUUAUCAGAGACUUGGGUAAGGGCUCGAAAUAACCUUGAGGGAAAGGUGUUAGGCACCCCUCGCAGUCCACAAUGGUUGGUCCCGGACAAACUCAAAUUAUGUGAAUUAGUCUUAUAAACAAAUAAAGCAAAUUAGACAAUUUGGUAUUUCAUUUAAAAAAAAAGGUAAAAGGGGUCCUAGGUUUUUAGCCGACAAAAUCACUUCUGUACAAUGCUUGGUAAUCGUCCCAAAGUUGGGUUGCUACACAUAGCAUUAGCGCACAGGUCAUCAUAUCCUUUACUACCCGUUACCCUCCCCUUAGUGGUUGUAUAACCGAUGCUAAUUAAACGUACUCUAUGUGUGCAUUACUUGUCACUUCCUUGUGGCCCUGGAGGUGUUUAAGACCUCUAAUUAAGGCAGUUCUAGACUCUCCUAAGGUGUUUAAAAGGAGAAAAUCUAGGAGACAAGCAAAUACAAAUAGAACAUUCACAUAAAUAGGCAAUUAAAGCUCACUUUUACCUCCUCACACAAGCAGACAAUAACACGUCUAAAACAACAAGAUUUCAGAUAUUUCAAAAGGUCCUAGAGCAAGAUAUCUAGGUGAGUAAAUAGAAUGUAUGCAGCAUCGUGUUAAAGUGAGGCAAUAGAGACCUAAUCAGUUUUCCUACUAAUUUUAUAGCUUGCGGAAUCUGGCCAAUUCACAAAUAACAAAAGCGUAGUUUUACAGUUUGCGGGAUUUCAAUAGCCCUAUAGGCUUGACUAGGCAUGUAUCAAUGAUGUCCUAUGAACAUAGUAUCUAGUUAUUAAUCAGGAGUGCAGUAAACCAAUAAACAAUUUAAAGCAGGUAGUUUAGAUCCUAUAGGCAUGUUGUCUAGACUUGUAGACACUGGUAGCUAAAUGCAAAAAUUGGUUUUAAAAUCCUAUAGGCAUGGCAUCUAAAUGCAGCAAUUAGUUUUAAAACCUUAUUAACAUGCAGAAAACUGAUUGAAACUUUGUCGGCAUGUAGAGAUUGAUUUUUAAACUUACAGGCAUGGUGUCUAAAAUGCAAGAUAUAUUUUAAACCAUAUAGGCAUGGUAUCUAGAAUGCAGGACUGAUUCAUAGACAUGGUACCUAAAUGUACAUAAGCAAACAUCGCGAUAACCUAUAAGCCUAGUAUCUAAAUAACAGACAUUGUAAUAACCUACAUGCAUGGUAUCUAAAUAAUAGACAUUGCAAUAACCUAUAGGCAUGGUUUCUAAGUAAAACAAUAUUGCAAUACCUAUGGACAUGGUAUAUGAUGCAAGUAAAUAAUCCGAAGAACAUGAUCUCUAAUGCAAGCAAAUAGUCAUAAUAAACCUAAGGACAUGAUUUCUACCUAGUUUCCCCACAAAAAUUAUAUAAGAAUCCCUCCCUUUUUACUAAUUUCUCCAAUAUCUGUUUACAAGAAUUAUUACUACAGACCAUAUGAAUUAUAGAAGGAACAAACUAUGCUAUAUGGAACCUGAAUAGAGGCCCAAAGUGAACCUGGAAGUUCCAGGCCUUCAAACAGUCCAAAAAUGCCAUAAUUUCAUAGUGCACCCACUAGUAUCCUGGUGUGUCAAAGUUUUCAAAGGGCCUCAGGGACCCGGGGCAAUGCUCAUACUAGAAAACUUUCAAAGCAACCCUUUGUGAGUAAGUUUUGGAAAGCAAGCCCCAGUGUGUCAAAGUUCAGAGGAGUCUCAUGAACUCCUAGGCAAUGCUCACACUGGAGGGGCAAGACCCUAAGGGUUCUAGGAAUAGGGGUUGAAAAUAGAAGAAAAUAGUUUCAGAUUCUUAGGAAGUAAUGAGCAAGCAGGGUCAUUCAAUCAUUGUAACACAAACAAAGGUUCCAGCAAUCAAAUAGUAUACAGAAAUAGGAUCCCUCAAAGUUUCAAUUUAGUUUACUAGUUGAUACUAAGUGAGAAGACACUAAACAAUGGCAUGGCAUACUGGGAUCACUCAGACAGUCAUAUUCAAAGGGGUAGUAGGGAUGGGGAGUCAUAUUGGUCAGGAGUCUGUGAGAGGUGAACAUUUUAAAAUAUGAUAGAAAGAACAUGCUAGUGGAAAAGUAAACAGACAUGGGUCCAGUUUAGAUAUGAGCAAGUAUGAAGACUUGCUGAAAGCAGAAGCGCAUAGGUCUAGCUAAAACAGGAGUAAACAGGUUGAAAAAAAGACACAUAGGUUCAAUCAAACAACGUACACAUGCAAUUGCAGUAAACAUAUAGGUUGAACAAAAGUAGACAUGCUAUUGUAGUAGAUACAUAGGUUUGAUUAAGCAGAAGAAAGGCAUGCUAAUUAUAAGGAAGCACAUAGUUUAAAUUGAAUAGCAUGAAACAUAUAGUCUACUUGAAUGGCAGUACACAUGCUGACUAGGAACAAUAAGCAUGAAGCACAUAGGUCUAGUUAAAGAUGGGCAAGCUGGUAUAAAGAUCCUAUUGAUUUAAUAACAUGAAAAUGGACAUGCUGGGAAUAGGAAAUACAUAAGUUAAAUCAUACAGAAGUUUGCACGAUAGUAAAGUGGGGGCAUACCAGUUAAGAAUUCAAAGUAGAAGAAUGAAGCAAACAAGGUCCAAAGGUCUAGCCCUGGCUUCCAGCCGGCUAGACAAUGUAGAAGCAAAGAGCAGAAGAUUAUGAUAGAGGAAGAGUACAAGAACUUUGUAUACUUUCUAUGUCUGUGUGUGUGUAUUGAACUAUUGUUCGUGUCUUUGAGAGGCAGAAUGAGAGUAUAUAUAACACUUAUGGAGUAGAACAAAUAAGGUAAAGAGAAUCAUAGUUCAAUCAAUUAGGGAUCAACCAACUAAUCACAAAAUCAAUUUCUAUAGGGAAAUCCGGGAAAGACUCCUUUAAUUGGGGAAUAAUCAAUUAACAGUUAUAACAGGGGUUCAAUUAAGGCAAUAAAUCAAAUUAAUACCAUGUAGGGAGUCAGUAAAAAUCCCCAAACUACUGUCAACUAAUUAAGGCAAGUAAGAAAAGAUAGGGAAGCAAGUAACAAAAUAAGGAAGCCAAUAAAAUCCCAACACACUAAUUUUAACAGGGCAAUUAUUAGGAAAUAAUCGGUAAAAAUCUUCAAAGAGUACUGAUUUCAUAGGAAAGAAUUAUUUGAGUCCUUAAAUGGGAAUCAACCAAGUAAGAAUGCCAAAGGGUUCUGAUUUUAACAAGAAAGAAGAUCGUUCAGAUCCUUAACAGAAAUUAAUCAAGUAAAAAAAUUCCACAAAAUACUAAUUUUAACAGGGAAAAUCAUUUAGGUCUCUAAAUAGAAUAAGUUAAUACGACUGGCUUAUAUAGAUAAACAUAAUAUCAAAACAGAAUUGAAGAAAUCAGUAUAACACAUAGAAUCAUCUAGGGUUUGAGCAUGCAUGUGAAAAUUAGUCAAGAUAGUGAAGAAACAAUUAAUAAAAACACUGAGAAGUUAGAAAUGUUUUUGAAGAAAAGUCCGGGAUGAACCCUAAUUUCAAAAAGAGUAAACGAAGUCGAAAUAAUUAAUUAAACCAAGAGAUUUUUAAAGAAAAACACCCAAUAAUACUCGAAUCACUUCAGAUCUAUAAAGAUCUUAGAAGAUUCGAACAGUAGUGAAACUAGGGUUUUUAGAAAAUAGUAGAGAUGAAGAGAAUCGAUCAAAAACCCGUGGAUUCGUACCAGAAACAAGAGGAAAUCCAUACUCACAAACAAAAAUGGCCUAAGAGACAAGCCGGUAAAAAACUUUCAAGCCAGAACAGGGUAGAUUUCCAUGAGAUCUUCUCAAGGACUUAUGAAAUCAAACAUCCAGAGGGUAUAGGAGACUGGUGGUGGUCGGAGAACGCACGAAAACACCAUAGAAGGGAUGUUCCUACCAGUGACGGCGAUUAGGGUUAGGGUGAGUUGAGAGAGAAUUGAAGAGAUGAGGGAUUCAAGGGUGGCAGAGUGUAAUAAAUGAGUAGGG